UGGGAACUUCCAUAUGCUGUAGGUGUGGCCCUCAAAAGACAAAAAAGAAUAAAACUAAAAUUAAAAAUAAUUCUCCUUUUUGGUGUUCUGAUUGAGUGAUUUCCUCUAUCUUCCAAAUUCCUUAUCCAGUCUUCUUUUAUCAUCUAAUCUGAUGUUGAUUCCCUCUCUUAUAGAUAUACAUAUUUUACUUGCAGUUAUUAUAUUCUUAAGCCCUGGGUUCAUCCUUAUUUUUCUAAGUCUUUUUUGACAUUCUCACUGAGUUCCUCCAUUCUUCUCCAGAGUUCACUGUGCAUCCUUGUGAUCAUUUAUUUGAACUUUUUAUUUGUUAAAUUACUUAGUUCUGUUUCAUUUGUAUUUUUUUUCUUGGUUUUAUUUUGUUCUUUCAUUUAGAACAUAUUCCUCUGUCUCAUGUUGUUUGAUGGUCAGUUUUUGUUUCUAUGUAUCAGGUGAAACCAUUACCACUGUUGGCCUUAAAUGUGGGACCUCAUGAAGAUUGCUUGCACCUGGAGGCUUUGACUGGCUGGCUAGAGCUGGAGGAUGUGUGAACCGGAAGCAGUCCUGGCGGAGUGCUGCACCUGAGACCACUUUGGCAGGGCAGCUGGGGGUGGGGCCAGCACAAGUCAUUUGAGCCCUGGGGAGACACAAACAACACUGCUUGCUGUGGCAUUCAACCUCCACUAGGUUCCAGCAGUUUUGGAUGGUUUGCGGAAGCUCUAAGCUUCCAGAUCUGCACAGUCAUUUGCUGUCUCUGGAGAAAGAGUCCUUCUUACACUCUAGCUCUACAAUUGAAGACUAAAUUCUGAUUUAUCAGCCAAAAGUAAGUGUUUAAUCAUGAGCUACAAUCAAUUUCUUGAAGCCAAAUCUCAGAAAGGUCUAUCCACUCAAAAUUUUACCUAGGUAGUGAUACCCUAGAAUUUUGCCUAUUUUGCUGUGCAAGGAGUUUUGAAGAAAUUUGAUAUAGAAAUUGUUUUAUUUGCUUAAUUUGUGACUGACAGUUUCACAUAGUGGUGUUUAUUUCUAAUUGAUAGAUAUCAUACUUUAGCUCAAAUCCCCAUAGAAACACAAAAUUGAAGUAAUUUAAUAUUUUGAGGUGAUAAUCUUUCUUAGAAGACUUGUUUUGUUAUUUUCUUUUUAAGCUUUAGUUCAAGUUUCUUUUAAAACCUCAGGUAAACAUUUCCCAUUGAUCUUCUCAAUACUUUGGCCUUGUAUUUUAGGUAUAUCUUCUCUGAUUUCCCCUUAAUUUUUAGUCAAAAGUUUUCCAGAGACAUUUAUAAUGAACUUUUACAUGAAGAUAACUUGAAAUGUGAAGUGAGGGGAUGAUUUAUGAAUUCUAAUUCCUCAGAAAUAUGAUGUCAUAUAAAGCAUUAUUUCUUAACUGUUUUCUGAUUGUUUGUAUUCUCCAUAUUUUUAAAGUAAGAACAGUCCUGCUAAAAUCUGAAAUUUCUGUGCAUGCCCCAUAAGAAAUCAUUAGGAUCAGCAUGGCUAGAGUACUUCCAUGAUAUUUGAAGAGUUAUUUUUUUGGUUUGUUUCUGUGUUUUGAUUUUUUUUUUAAAGCAGCUUUACAGCUGUAAAACACAUACAAAAUCUAGGUGGUUCUCUAGCUACACUUCCCUGCCUCUGUAAAUAAUGCAACAGGGUAUAGCAGUAGGGGC
rnacentral:lncRNA from 1 species